AUCGAACGCUGGCGGCGGGCCUAACACAUGCAAGUCGAACGAGUGGCGGACGGGUGAGUAAUGUCUGGGCAACUGCCUGAUGGAGGGGGAUAACUACUGGAAAAGGUAGCUAAUACCGCAUACCAUCGGAUGUGCCCAGGUGGGAUUAGCUAGUAGGUGGGGUAAAGGCUCACCUAGGCGACGAUGCCUAGCUGGUCUGAGAGGAUGACCGGCCACACUGGGACUGAGACACGGUCCAGACUCCUACGGGAGGCAGCAGUGGGGAAUAUUGCACAAUGGGCGCAAGCCUGAUGGAGCCAUGCCGCGUGUAUGAAGAAGGCCUUCGGGUUGUAAAGUACUGUCGGCGGGGAGGCGUUACCCGCAGAAGAAGCACCGGCUAACUCCGUGCCAGCAGCCGCGGUAAUAC
rnacentral:rRNA from 1 species